UAUAACAACCACCCUUCAAGACACAACUAAGGUUGCUCUGAUCCGAUAUUAGGAUCGGAUAUCGGCCCCAAUAUCAACAUUUUAGCUGGAUCGGGGAUCUGUAAAAGCAACCGAUCUGUAAGACCCAAUCCUUCCCCUUUAAAUUUUUUGUGACACGGGCUACGU